CCCCCAGCCCCAUCAGCGUCACUUCGCGUACAUGGAGGGGGUUCCUGACAGAGCUGUUGGGGUUCACUGCUGCCUGCGGACUUGCCUUCCCUGCAGGGACUCACAGACUUUACAUUCACUCCAGACAGACCCGCUUGUUAUGGCAAAGUGCAUCAUUAGUCAUUACACUGUCAUGCUUAAACGUCAUGCUUACCAACAGUCAACAACACAGACGAUAACGGAAAUUUACAGUAGGGGGCAGUGUAUUCCAACUGUACAGUAUUUUGGCGUCACACAGAAUCCAGUGUCUCCUGUUUUCCCCGAAGUCUCCCGUCCGCCCCGCAACAAUAAUGAGGCCUGGUUUUGCCCUUGUGGAAGACAAACUGCCACGAAAAAAUAUCAACGUUUCGGCUGGAAAGAAGAGAUUUGUCAGCAGGCCUCGAAGCCUCCAAAUGAAGGCGCCGUGGUCAACUGAGGAAGGCACGAGGAAUUAAAGAACGGCGUCUCUGUAACAGCAGUGGCACGUCAGCUAUUCUAAUCUAGAGCUUUACCAACCGAAGGUGGUAAUAGAGACGGGAAAAUAGUUAACCUGAGCCUGACUGUUUGUUCAUUUCGCAACCGAAAACUGAGAACAACCCGGCACCCACGUUCAACAGGCUUCUCGCCAUAGACGAACAUCACGGUAGGCGAUGCAGAUUCCCUGCAGAUAGGCUGGAGUAUGCCAGUCGAAUGCAUGGUGGGCAGGUUUAAUCCUAGAUAAGGUAAAUAAUAGGAUCAUAAUAAGAAUGGAAUGUAAUCAAUUUAGAUUUGAGAGAGCUUCUAUGAUGCUUUUCAGGGCACCAUCUACUACAGGCCUCAAUAAUAAAACAAAUAUGCAGCAUCCUAAUGCAAGAGAUUGCUUUGCAUCUAACGGUGGACGCAUUUUUACACUCGCCUUGAAAUUAACUGACUUUUUACGGCUGUCGACAACACACAGAACAGCCAGAGCUGUUCUUCUCUUUCGGCAGAGCCUCGAAAGAUCGACGGAAAAGCGGGACACAAACACAGGAAGACUGUAUUGCGGGGCCGUGUUUAGAAAGUCUAGAGAUCGGUCUUCUCGCAGAGGAUGAGGAUUUUUAAGAAAGUCACGGGGGAGGAAAGAGGCACAGAGUGGUACUUCCUGGGAAGAGCGGUUUAUUUUUAGGGGCUUGUUUGUUUUUUACCUCUUAUGUGCCAACGGGGACAGUCACAGUCACUUUGGUGCUGUGUUCAUUACUCUGCUUAUUUCAAACAUGUUUCAGAGACCACAAAUAUGAGAUUACCUCAGCUGUAACUAUUUGGAAAUUCCACAGAAGAUAUUUAUAUACCUUCAUGCCCAUUCAUCCAUCCAUCUUUUAAAUGUUCAUCCGCAGACAACUUACUCUAUGAAAAAAGAGCAAGUUGUGGGAGGCGUAAAGUCAAUUUCCCUACGAGGAUCAAUAAAGCAUCAAUUAUUAUUAUUAUUAUUAUUAUUAUUAUUAUUAUUAUUAUUAUUAUUAAGGUUGC